rnacentral:lncRNA from 1 species
CUAGGGAUAAUAUCUAAUACAUCCAUCAAAAUUUCUGAAAUAUCUUACAUAUUCUUUCUUUCUUUUUUUCAAAUAUAUCUUUUCUGUUAUUCAAAAAAAUUUUCGCUGUCAGUACUCAUUAAAUCAUCUUAGGUUAAACCCGGGUUAAAAAAAAUCAAAAUACUUAUUUUGUUUCUAACUUAAGGGUAAAUAAGAAAAAUUAAUAAUGAUAAAAGGGUAUUAGAGCGUUUGGCAAUCUUAUUUUCAAAAUCAGACUCUAAUUUUUAGAAUCAGUUUUCUAAUUUUAAAGACCCAAAAUCAAAAACAGUUAAAAAACUGUUUCUUGAAAUCUGAUU